UGUUAUUCACUUUCUCAGGAAAGUAAUAUUUACGGGAAACAAUUUACCCUAUCAUUUCUCUCACCCAUCUCUCUCUCUCGUCCAGACCCAGCACCGCUUCCGUCGAGGACGCCGCCGCCGCCUUCCGAUCAACCACGCCGUUGCCGGACUUUCCUCUGCCGCCACCACCAGAAUUGUCAGCAAUGAACUGGGUUCAACGAAAAAUCUACCUUUACAAUGUGACAUUUGGGCUCUAUAUGUUAGAUUGGUGGGAACGUUGCCUCUUUAAUACUUUGGUGGUGGUAUUGAUGUGGUUCGUUCUUUAUAACGGAUCGCGAUACAUGGUUGAGUUCUCCAAGAGGCAGCGAUGGUAAAAUUCACAAACUGUAGCUUGAAGCGGAAAAGGAUGGAUUUGGAAUGCCAGUGCAACAUCUUACUCUCUGAUUCACUUAACUUAUGAAAACAAAUUUACCUGUAGAAUCAAUGAUACAUGUUGACAAGUUUUGCUUAUUCUUUCUGUUAUUAUUGUUAAGGAUUUUGGCAGCAACCCCCAGUUGGCCCUUCUGUUUACUUUGUUUUCAGAAGAAAAGAUUUUAGUGCUUUAACCCUCUCCUGUUUCAGUCAAGUCUUAAAGUUAUGGAUAAAUUUUUAAUGGUAA